rnacentral:rRNA from 1 species
GUUGUAUGGUUAAGUGACUAAGCGUACACGGUGGAUGCCUUGGCAGUCAGAGGCGAUGAAGGACGUAUUAACUUGCGAUAAGCCCAGAUUAGGUAGUAAAAACCACUUGAGUCUGGGAUUUCCGAAUGGGGAAACCCACUUACAUAAGUAAGUAUCGCUGCGUGAAUACAUAGCGCAGCGAGGCGAACCGGGGGAACUGAAACAUCUAAGUACCCCGAGGAAAAGAAAUCAACCGAGAUUCCGAAAGUAGCGGCGAGCGAAAUUGGACUAGCCC